GUCUUUUUAGUGAAAAAAAAUCACGUCACUUUUUCAAGGUGAAAUUGAACUUCAUAUUCAUAAGAUA
rnacentral:tRNA from 1 species